rnacentral:rRNA from 1 species
UACGGAGGGAGCUAGCGUUGUUCGGAAUUACUGGGCGUAAAGCGCACGUAGGCGGCUUUGUAAGUUAGGGGUGAAAGCCCGGAGCUCAACUCCGGAAUUGCCUUUAAGACUGCAUCGCUUGAAUCCGGGAGAGGUGGGUGGAAUUCCGAGUGUAGAGGUGAAGUUCGUAGAUAUUCGGAAGAACACCAGUGGCGAAGGCGGCUCACUGGACCGGUAUUGACGCUGAGGUGCGAAAGCGUGGGGAGCAAACAGG